UGCGCGCGCUCCCUCCCGGCUCGCUUCCGGCCUUUGUGGGGCGCUGUGGGCUGUUUGGGCUCCCGGCGGCUUGGACCGCGUGACCCGUGGUCUCCCCGGGAGGGACCCGGCUGCCGGCCUCGGGAGCUGCAGGUCCACCCUUGCUGGAAGCACCGCUAGAGCUUCUGCACGGCCGCGAUGGCGUCGGCCUGGGCUGCGCCGGCCCACGAGGAACAGGGUGCGCUUCUGGAAGUAAAGGUGGAGGAGGAGGAGGGGUACAGGAAUACCACCAGAUGGGAUCAGAACCUGCAGAAGAACAACACCCACAGCAGGGAGGUCUUCCGACAGUACUUCAGACACUUCUGUUACCAGGAGACGCCUGGACCCCGCGAGGCGCUGCGCCGGCUCCGCGAGCUGUGCCGCCAGUGGCUGAGCCCAGAAACACACACCAAGGAGCAGAUCCUGGAGCUGCUGGUGCUGGAGCAGUUCCUGACCAUCCUGCCCGAGGAGCUCCAGGCCUGGGUGCGGGGACAGCACCCGGAGAGCGGGGACGAGGUGGUGACCGUGCUGGAGGAUCUGGAACGGGAGCUGGACGAGCCUGGAGAGCAGGAUGAGUGUGUCCACUGUGUCCCUGUCCACACUGAGCAACAGGACACGCUCUUGCAGGAGACGGCCCUUGUGGGAACAGGACGGGAGCCCGGCAUGUCCCUCCCAUCCGGGGUUGCCCGGCUGAACUAUGAAUCUCCAGGACCUGGAGCCCAGCCGGAGGAACAAGUUUCAGGUGUUGAGACUGGAAAUAAGUCCAGGGAUUUAACUCUAAAGCAAGAAGUGUCUGGAGAAGCGGCACCACAGGGGAAUAUGUGUAGCGGAUUUGAAAGGGACAUGUCCCAGUCGGCUAGGUGCAGAGAAGCGGACGGAUCCGAAGCAGAAACAGAAGAGUCUUCUGGACGCUCCAGGGAAGGUGAACAGUCUGCGGGUGAGGAGAACAGACUCCGUCUGACUGAACAGCAGAGGGUCUGUCCAGGAGAAAAACCUCAUGAGUGCGAGGAGUGUGGAAAAGCCUUCAGUCAGCACUCGAACCUCUUAGAACAUCAGAGGGUCCACACUGGAGACAGGCCCUACAAAUGUGAGGAAUGUGGGAAAACUUUCCGUGGGAGAACCGUGCUGAUUCGGCACAAAAUAAUACACACCGGAGAGAAACCGUAUAAAUGUAAUGAGUGUGGCAAAGCCUUUGGCCGCUGGUCAGCUCUUAACCAACAUCAGAGGCUCCACACAGGAGAGAAACACUACCACUGUAACGAAUGCGGCAAAGCCUUUAGCCAGAAAGCGGGCCUCUUUCACCAUCUCAAGAUCCACACGAGAGACAAACCAUACCAUUGUGCUCAGUGCAAUAAAAGUUUUAGUCGGCGUUCAAUACUCACUCAACACCAAGGAGUUCACACUGGGGCAAAGCCCUAUGAGUGCAGCGAGUGCGGGAAAGCCUUCGUUUAUAACUCCUCCCUGGUUUCCCACCAGGAGAUCCACCACAAAGAAAAGGGCCAUCAGUGUAAGGAGUGUGGGAAAUCCUUCAGUCAGAGUGGCCUUGUUCAGCAUCAGAGAAUCCACGCUGGGGAGAAACCUUACAAGUGUGACGUAUGUGCAAAAGCAUUUAUUCAGAGGACAAGCCUUGUAGAACAUCAGCGAGUUCACACUGGAGAGAGACCUUACAAGUGUGAUAAGUGUGAGAAGGCCUUCACUCAGAGAUCAGUUCUCACGGAACACCAGAGAACCCACACCGGAGAGAGGCCGUACAAGUGUGACGACUGUGGGAACGCCUUCCGAGGCAUCACCAGCCUCAUUCAGCAUCACAGGAUCCACACUGGGGAGAAACCCUACCGAUGUGACCAGUGCGGCAAAGCCUUCAGACAGAGGAAGAAGACCGACUACAAGGAAAUACUUCUGAAAAACCAGCGUGAACCUCAAGCUGGAGUGAAUCUUCUCCUGAGUGCUCUCAUUCCAGAAUGGCGUUCCUCCUGUGGGAAGGUCCCUAACGUGACUGAUGGCCGAGGGAGAGGGCUGUGCCUGGGACCACGCUGACAAAGAAGUCACGGAUAUUCCUUCAGACUUUUAAGUUGCUACUACCCAAGAUAGCUGCCUGCCCCCCACCCCGGGGCUGCCAGAAGACUCAGAGAACUUUACUUGCAGGUGCUGAGAUCAGAGACAGACCAAGGAGCAGGUGCUGAAAUGGUUAUCCUAAGAAUAAAAAUAAGGACUUGUUUCCAAUUCUGCAGAUGUGAAAUGCUGUGGUGGGAUCUCUCUAGAACUGCAACAUCUAUGCGGUAAGUGUAGCUUUAGUAACUGGUGAGUCCUUACUCCGCAUCAGGGAACACAGGUGCCGCAGAGAACCUCCUUGAGGGCAACAGGUUUGGAAAGGCUUUUCUUUGUAGCGGGUCCCUCCUUUCCUGCCAGGGGAUCCUCCCCAAGGAAAAGUGCUCCGUGUUAGGAGUGGGGGCAUGCUUUCGUGUAUUGUGGCCUUAUUUUACAUCAGAGAAUCCACACAAACGAGAGACUGCAUAGAUGUGGUGACUGUGAGGAGGCCUUCAUUCAGCACAGAACCUCAACGAACUGUACGUGAAGGAAAUGGGAACACCUUGGCCCAGAAGUCAGGACCGACUGCACCAGAGAGUCUACGCAGGAGGGAGAUCUUGUCAGCGGGAUGAAUGUGGGCAUGCUUUGCGUGGAAUCACCAGCUUUAUCAUUCAGCAGUGGAGAAUUCGCACUAAAGAGAAACCCAGACAGUGUGAGGAGUAUGGAAGUCUUCAGGGUGGUUCCACCUUGGUAAACAUCAGUGAAUCCGUAUGAGAGAGGUUCUUAUAAAUGGCAGGAUCACAGGAAGUUGUAUGGGCAGAGACCAAAUCUCAACAACAGAAUCUCCACAGUAUUGAAAAAUUAAUUUAAUGUAGGUGCACAGGUUCCAUUCCCCCAUGGAAUGGGUAUUCUUAAUUGCCCAAUUUGGCCAAUAAAAACAUUCGGUGGAUGCCUCAGGUCAAGAAAAGGAAAGGUCAGCAGUUCUUUCUUGCUAUCUAGAGGAGUCUGUAGAUGUGAGCAACCAGGAAUUUGAAAUGAGCUGCUCACCUGCAUGUCAGGACUUGGGACACUGUCUCCUGCGUGACAGUGCACACUGGGGACAUGUUUCUCCCAGGUCUGCUCUUCUCAGAGCUUCAUUGAACAAGAGCAGUCUACUGUCUACUGUGGUCAUUUUAUUUUACUUGUUUAUGGGCUGAAUAGGUUUGUGUCUGUACCCCAGGACACACAAAUCACAUUUAUAAAGUUUCAGUACAUGUAAUGAAGAACCACGUCAUUAAUUUGUUGGAUGCUCCCCUAAAUUUGGGACUGCUUCUGUGUUCUCCAGCAUAAGGCCGUGCAAGUAUCCUUCAGAGUAUAUAUUUUCCAGCUUUGGUUUAAUUGUUGUUGUUGUUUUUAAGAUAGUGAAAUUGAGAAAUAAUGAUGAAGAUAUUUCCCCUUAUAGAUAAUACAUUAUAUAAUGUGAAGGCUAAUACUUUAUGUAACUUGCUUAUUAUCCUUUUCAGUUCGGAAACAAACUAAAAGGGGAAAAGAUGUUGAGAAGCUUUUCAGCAAGUUGUUAAUAUAGCCCAAUCUCUAUGAGAGAGAAUGAGGCUUAUGUAUUUUAUACUAGGUUACUAAACACAGGAAUACUUAGGAAUAUAGGAAUUUAGGAAUUCCUAAAUAUAGGAAUAAAUAUAGAUUUUAAAACUUUGCAAUGAUUAUUUCAGAAUUCUGAGUGUAUUUGCUGUACAUCCCUAUUUUUUUUUUUUGCAUAGGUAUUACAGUCCAUUUAGUAGAUGGACUGCAUUCUAUAAAAGGUCUUUUUAGCAUCUAUAGAAAUCACAUUUUUUUAAAAUUAUUUUUUAACUUCAUUAUUAUAUUAUGUGCAAGGAUUUUCUAAUAUUGAACCAACAUUGCAUUCCUGCAAUAAGUCCUGCUUAUUCUUGGUGUAUUCUUUUCUUAAUGUGUUAAUGAGUUUGACUGCUAAUAUUUUAUUUACUCCAUUUUCUUCAAUGUUUAUAUGAAAUUGGUCUGUAAU